CUUUGGUGGUGUUUCACCAGAUUCUGGAGGCAUUCGGAGUGCCUUUCGUCACAAUGUGUGCUUAUGAUGAUGUAGAGGCAGUCUCUGAACGUAUGACCCUAGGAUCAUGCUUCAAUGUGCUUAAGCCGUUUGGCACCGAAACCGUCAACAUUCUGUUGCACAAAGCACGGCAACACAAAUCUAAAAGGGUGCUACCUGAGGGAACAAGCAUUCCAAAGAAAACCCAAGGUAGAAUGGAUUCCUCAUCUGCUAAAAAUCACAGGUCUGAAACUGAGGGCGAAGAACCUUAUGUGUUCAAAGCACAUAGCUCAAAGAAGCUGUGUCGGUUCACGUGGACCAGUCAGCUCCAUGAAAGGUUCUUGCGGGCUGUUCAAGUGCUUGGGGAGUUUGCUACGCCUAGAAACAUUCGUCGGUACAUGAAUGUCAAUAAUUUGAAUUUGACCUUGGGGAACAUAUCAAGCCAUCUCCAG